UACGUAGGGACCGAGCGUUGUCCGGAAUCAUUGGGCGUAAAGAGCGUGUAGGCGGCCUUUUAAGUCCUGCGUGAAAUCCUGCGGCUCAACCGCAGACGGUCGUGGGAAACUGGAAGGCUAGAGUGCGGGAGAGGAGAGUGGAAUUCCCGGUGUAGCGGUGAAAUGCGCAGAUAUCAGGAGGAACACCGAUGGCGAAGGCAGGUCUCUGGGCCACUACUGACGCUGAGAAGCGAAAGCAUGGGGAGCGAACAGG
rnacentral:rRNA from 1 species